UCCUAAAUGGUCGCUGACGGAGGCACAAAAUAGUAAAGAGUUAUAUAUCGAACCACGAGAGCUUCGAGUUCGUCGGGAAACAUCAUUGAUGUUUGAUGAACCGCAGAAACUACGAAUCGAAGAUCUCGAGGUAGUAGGUUUCAUAAAUAUAA
rnacentral:lncRNA from 13 species